rnacentral:rRNA from 1 species
GACGAACGCUGGCGGCGUGCUUAACACACGCAAGUCGAACGAUGAUGCUGGAGCUUGCUCCAGUUGAUUAGUGGCGAACGGGUGAGUAACACGUGAGCAAUCUGCCCUUGACUCUGGGAUAACUGCGGGAAACUGUAGCUAAUACCGGAUACUUUCACCGGAAGGCAUCUUCUGGUGAUGAAAGAAUUUCGGUCAGGGAUGAGCUCGCGGCCUAUCAGCUUGUUGGUGAGGUAACGGCUCACCAAGGCGACGGCGGGUAACCGGCCUGAGAGGGUGACCGGUCACACUGGGACUGAGACACGGCCCAGACUCCUACGGGAGGCAGCAGUGGGGAAUAUUGCACAAUGGGCGCAAGCCUGAUGCAGCAACGCCGCGUGAGGGAUGAAGGCCUUCGGGUUGUAAACCUCUUUUAGCAGGGAAGAAGCGAAAGUGACGGUACCUGCAGAAAAAGCACCGGCUAACUACGUGCCAGCCGCCGCGGUAA